rnacentral:rRNA from 1 species
AACGAACGCUGGCGGCAUGCCUAACACAUGCCAGUCGAACGAGACCUUCGGGUCUAGUGGCGCACGGGUGCGUAACGCGUCGGAACCUGCCCUUAGGUUCGGAAUAACUCCCCGAAAGGGGUGCUAAUACCGGAUAAUUUCUUCGGACCAAAGAUUUAUCGCCUUUGGAUGGGCCCGCGUUGGAUUAGCUAGUUGGUAGGGUAAAAGCCUACCAAGGCGACGAUCCAUAGCUGGUCUGAGAGGAUGAUCAGCCACACUGGGACUGAGACACGGCCCAGACUCCUACGGGAGGCAGCAGUGGGGAAUAUUGGACAAUGGGCGAAAGCCUGAUCCAGCAAUGCCGCGUGAGUGAUGAAGGCCUUAGGGUUGUAAAGCUCUUUUACCCGGGAUGAUAAUGACAGUACCGGGAGAAUAAGCGCCGGCUAACUCCGUG